rnacentral:lncRNA from 1 species
AUGAGCCAACAAUCCCACUGCUGGGCAUACACACCGAGGAAACCAGAAUUGAAAGAGACACAUGUACUCCAGUGUUCACUGAAGCACUGUUUACAACAGCUAGGACAUGGAAGCGACUUAGAUGUCCAUAAGCAGAUGAACAGAACUGAAGUCUUAUCCAGGUGCACCACUCUGAGGCUUCCUCCAUCUCCCCUGAGCUUCCCCAGCAAAAGCAGAACCAUCAUGGUAUGUAUUUAAAUUCCCUGCUCUUCAUUUGGACUUCUGUCUCCUCUU